UACGGAAGGGGCAAGCGUUGUUCGGAAUCAUUGGGCGUAAAGGGCGUGUAGGUGGUUCUGUAUGUCUACCGUGAAAGCGUACGGCUCAACCGUAUUUAGUCGGUAGAAACUGCAGGACUUGAGGCUGGGAGGGGCUGGUGGAAUUCCCCGUGUAGCGGUGAAAUGCGUAGAGAUGGGGGGAGAACACUCGUGGCGAAGGCGGCCAGCUAGACCAGUUCUGACACUGAGGCGCGAUAGCGUGGGGAGCAAACAGG
rnacentral:rRNA from 1 species